UGCGUAGGCGGACUAUUAAGUCAGUGGUGAAUCCUGCAGCUUAACUGCAGAACUGCCAUUGAUACUGAUAGCCUUGAGUUUGGUUAAGGUAGGCGGAAUGUGUAAUGUAGCGGUGAAAUGCUUAGAUAUUACACAGAACACCAAUUGCGUAGGCAGCUUACUGAGCCGACACUGACGCUGAGGCACGAAAGCGUGGGGAUCGAACA
rnacentral:rRNA from 1 species